rnacentral:tmRNA from 1 species
GGGGGUGUUCCGGAUUCGACUGGCAGGGUUCGGGGUUGAUUGCAUGCCGAGGAUGAUUGUUGGCCUCGUAAAUCAUCAAUCGAACGAAUAAUUGCGAACGAUCAAGAGUUUGCUCUGGCCGCUUAAUUGACGGCCUCGUACUUCCCCUGACGGGUGUUAAGGGAUAAGUGCGUCAUCUAACGCCCUGGUCGGCUGUUUCAUCUUUCGGCAGCCGAUAAGACAAUAGAGAGGUUAGUCCGAAAGCCCGCCUGAUUGCCGGCAAGGUGGACGGACGAUAAGAAUCCAAAGGCGAUCUAAGCAUGUAGAAGUUGAUCUUAGACAUUGUCAACACGCGGGUUCGACUCCCGCCACCUCCACCA